GCUGCCUUAGCUCAGUCGGUAGAGCGCCUGUUUUGUAAACAGGGGGUCGUGGGUUCGAGACCUACAGGCAGCACCA
rnacentral:tRNA from 1 species